AAUAAUGCAAAUCAUUACUCAUGAUAUUACAUAAAUUCUUGCUUUCGCUUUAUAAAAUCAAGCCACAUGGUAUGCCUGUCUUAAAUCGUGCUUGUCUAGUGACGUUUGUUCAUAAUUCGUGUUUAUAAUUUGUCUUGCUGAGUUUCUUUUUGGAGUUUAUGCGUUAUGGUGAGAAAUAUAAUCAUAAGUAAAGUUCAUUAGUAGAAGUUUCAUCCCCUAAUUCUGUGCAUUGAGUUUUAUACGAAUAUAUAACCUUCAUUCGGGACGAAUGAUCCCAAGGGGGAGAUAUUGUAACAUCUCACAACCUUUCUUUGUGAGAUCCUUCAAGGGAAAUUUUGUCAUUUUUUUUUAACAUUAUCCCAAUUAGUUAAAAACUCUUUUUAUUCAUUGGAUCCAGAAAUUUAUUUGCAAAUACGUUACGUUUUUUUUGUUUCCAGCAAAUAACACAUUACUUUUAUUUCCCUGCAAAUAAUAUUUUUUUUUAUGUGUUUAGCUGUUUCUUUAUUUUCCUCAAUUUCUUGUAUUAAACCCCCCUCUUCAUCUGCCAGUUUCACGACUUAAUAUCACCUCCCAACAGUCUUAAUCUCUCUCUCGAACUCAACUUCUAAGAAGCUCCAUAGGUUGGCUCAAGUAAUCAAGCUUAUCCUUGCGAUCUAAAGUCCUUUAAAUGUUUUGAGGUAUGUAAAAUUGUCUCUUGCUCACUUUCCUGGAUGUUCUCUUUUAUGUUUUGUAACCUGCUUCCCUCCACGUGGUCUGGUAUAACUUGGUGCGUGGAUUAGGAACUUGGUGUUUGUAUAUAUUAAAGAAUUUUCCCUGGUUGCCUAAGUUGUUUUGUGAUGCUCUGAAAAACUUGAGUGUUGCAGUAGAGUCAAAGCCCAUGUUAGGCAUCCCUGCAAAACCAAGUUUCCGUAAUUGCUACGAUUUCAAAGGUCCUUAAUUAUCGCAAACUAACUACCUUAGUGCUAACGGAUUUUGUCUUAUGUUGGGUCUCUCUCUAAUUUAUGUGCAAUCUAUUUAAGGCUACUGAACUAAUAGAUAUUGACUUUAGGUUGCCCUGUUUUUAUUUUAUGUCGUAAACUAGUUAUAUGAUGUUUGGUUGAUGCUCUACAGUAAACUAUGUUGGCUUAUUGUUCUUGACUAUGAUAUGUGCAUGUUGGUUAUGGUGGUCCAAUUAGGAUUAAUGUUUGCAAGCAUGAUUCCCUUUGUAAAUGUGUUUUAGUUGAUUAUCACAAAGUUGUGAAGCACUCAUUAUAGCUUCAGCAGUUACAGCGAUACUACAAGGAUUUUUCCAGACUUACAGUUAGAAUCCUAUUUAAUACUUAAUAAUUAUUUCUGGACAGAUUUACCUGGUACUUCGUGGCAUAGUUGUGGUGCAUGUAAGUUGGCCCACCAAUUACUGUUAUCCCAUUUUAAAGGAUUUAUUUUCUCAUACUGUAUGAAGUGAGAUAAGGUGAAAUUUCGGUUUGUUUCAUUCUUGAGACCUAUACUUUGGACAGCUUUUUCUUCAUAGCAGUGUUUAAAUGCACGAAAAAUGGGUAGCUUAUCUGACCCUACCGUCUGCUGACUAUGUUUCUGACACAGGGCAGAGGUGAACACUUUGGCACCUACAUAAUGAAUAUUAUAGAUUUAGGCAAGGAAAAG
rnacentral:lncRNA from 1 species